GACUAACGCUGGCGGCGUGCCUAACACAUGCAAGUCGAACGGGGUAGCAAUACCCACGUGGCAGACGGGUGAGUAACGCGUAGAUAAUGUGCCCUCUUGCGGGGAAUACCGUUUCGAAAGGAACGUUAAUACCGCAUAAAGCCUUCGAAGGGCGAUCCUUUGUAAGGGCGAAACUAGGUUCUAGGGCGGAGAGGAGCAAUCUGCGUACUAUCAGCUAGUUGGUGAGGUAAUGGCUCACCAAGGCUACGACGGUUAACUGGUCUGAGAGGAUGAUCAGUCACACUGGAAC
rnacentral:rRNA from 1 species